UUAUUUAAGUUAAACUUCUUAUAGAGCAAAAGUGUGCGUAAAGACCCGACUCGUACAAUGAGAUAUUCAAACUAACAUCCAAUGGAAACUCUGGCGCAUUAGCAGUUUUUCAACGCAAAUUCACACUCAUUAAUUGCCAAUGGGAAUAAUAUUACAUUUUAGACACUGGUGUAAAUUGCAUCGUUGCGCACGUCACCUGCUUAUCCAUGGGGUACAUAACAUUCCACACGAAAGACCUCCAUCGUCGAAUCAUGUCUGCAUCUUUAGCUUCUUCAGCUUUUUUCAAGUAAUUCUGAAGUCCAGCAUGUUCGCCAACCACUGCUCUUAUGACGUCAUCAGCCACGAAAAUACACCCAACGCGAAAGAAGAAAUAAGUUUCCAUUCCGUGCUCACUCCCCACCUCCCGCUACUACCUCCUUUUC